rnacentral:misc_RNA from 1 species
GAUGAAGAACGUAGCGAAAUGCGAUAAGUAAUGUGAAUUGCAGAAUUCAGUGAAUCAUCGAAUCUUUGAACGCAGAUUGCGCCCCUUGGUAUUCCGAGGGGCAUGCCUGUUCGAGCGUCAUUACACCACUCAAGCACUGCUUGGUAUUGGGCAUCGUCCGUCGAAAGGCGGGCGUGCCUCGAAGACCUCGGCGGGGUUUCUCCAACUUCGGGCGUAGUAGAGUUAAAUCGAACGUCUUAUAAGCUUGGUGGGACUCCAUUGCCGUUAAACCUUUUAUUUUCUAGGUUGACCUCGGAUCAGGUAGGGAUACCCGCUGAACUUAAGCAUAUCAAUAAGCGGAGGA